CAAAUUAGAGCUUGAUUUAAGUAUUUCAUUUACAUUGAAAAGAAAUUAAAAUUAUUUAAUUGAUUUGA
rnacentral:tRNA from 1 species